rnacentral:lncRNA from 1 species
UAGAUAAGGAGCGAUCCACCUCGGAUCUUGCCGAUCGGGUCGGCACCAUCAAAGAGAGUGGUAGUGAUGCCAAACAAGGUAGAGAUGGAGUUUGCUUUAUAAAGGAGACGGAGCCUGAAUCGACUCUAGAGUGGUUGGUGGAGCCAACCUAAGCGGCACAGUGGUGACCAGCCGUCGUCUAUCUCCAGACGAUCCAUGCUCAAUGUCCGCACUAAUGGUGCAGGGAUUGGGGAAGGAGUCCUCAGCUAGGACUUU